UUGAUCCUGGCUCAGGAUGAACGCUAGCGGCAGGCCUAACACAUGCAAGUCGAGGGGUAACAGGAGUAGCAAUACUUGCUGACGACCGGCGCACGGGUGAGUAACGCGUAUGCAACCUACCUUUGACUGGAGAAUAGCCCGAAGAAAUUCGGAUUAAUGCUCCAUGAGACCACAAUACCGCAUGAUAUAGUGGUAAAAGCUCCGGCGGUCAAAGAUGGGCAUGCGUGCCAUUAGUUAGUUGGUGAGGUUACGGCUCACCAAGACAACGAUGGCUAGGGGGUCUGAGAGGAUGAUCCCCCACACUGGUACUGAGACACGGACCAGACUCCUACGGGAGGCAGCAGUGAGGAAUAUUGGUCAAUGGACGCAAGUCUGAACCAGCCAUGCCGCGUGCAGGAUGAAUGCCCUAUGGGUUGUAAACUGCUUUUCUACAAGAAGAAACUUCCUGAUGUAUCAGGAACUGACGGUAUUGUAGGAAUAAGCAUCGGCUAACUCCGUGCCAGCAGCCGCGGUAAUACGGAGGAUGCAAGCGUUAUCCGGAUUCAUUGGGUUUACAGGGUGCGUAGGCGGGGUAGUAAGUCAGUGGUGAAAGCCUGCGGCUUAACCGUAGAAUUGCCAUUGAUACUGCUAUUCUUGAGUGCAGUUGAGGUAGGCGGAAUGUGUAAUGUAGCGGUGAAAUGCUUAGAUAUUACACAGAACACCGAUUGCGUAGGCAGCUUACUAAACUGUAACUGACGCUGAGGCCACGAAAGCGUGGGGAGCGAACAGGAUUAGAUACCCUGGUAAUCCACGCUGUAAACUAUGAUC
rnacentral:rRNA from 1 species